rnacentral:misc_RNA from 1 species
UCUCCGUUGGUGAACCAGCGGAGGGAGCAUUACAGAGUUUUUAAAUCCCAAACCCAUGUGAACUUACCAUUGUUGUCUCGGCGGAGCCUACCCUGUAGCUACCCUGUAGGGUGGUUACCCUGUAGCGCCCCGCCGGUGGAUUUUCAAACUCUUGUUAUUUUUAGUAAUCUGAGCGUCUUAUUUUAAAUAAGUCAAAACUUUCAACAACGGAUCUCUUUGUUCUGGCAUCGACGAAGAACGCAGC